UUUAUUCAGAUCAUCAUCUCAUUCUCAUCGAUGGGGCAGAGGAAUCCUUUUUGCUUCAACAAACGUUUUCUGCUUUGUGAAAGUAACAUGAGCACAUGGAGAAACAUUGAGACGGGGCUCACGAUAUGCGGUCCAAUCCUCUCUCGUGAUGCCGGGCAGGGCAGUGAGCCAUAGCUCCCAGUCGGCCCCACAGUCACCAGGGAGAACUGCUGAUACACUGACAGGCGUUCUGGACCCAGGCAACCAUCCUGUUCUUCCCUGUCGGCACGGUGUCAAUAGAUGACAUGAUGCAGAAAUCUUUGUGGAUGUUUAUUUUCCUCAAGAAGGCGGUUGAAGGCAGAAGGCCUCUGAGAAGCUGGAAAAAAUGCCAAUCAGAGUAACAGAAAAGUGUUUCCUACCCUUACAAUUGCCAAAUCUUGAAGUAAAUGAAUUAUAAUUAACUAUUUUUCUUUAACUUACAUAAUUUUGUAAAAACCUUAAACAUGGUUGUUUCAUUUGGAGAAAAAAUACCCAUGAAUUCAUGGUUCUGAUGAAUUAGUAAUAUGUGUGCUUUUUCAAAUGUGUGUAAAUACGUAAUAAAUACUAAAAAGUUUUUGAAAGCACAACUUUAUCCACAUACCACCUACAAUAAUCUUGAAAACCAACAGAGGUGCUUGUGCUAAACAUUUGAAAAUGCUGGGGUGUCAGAUACCGGUGGUUACCAUGCCUAUUGCCAUUUCUUCCUUCCUUUCCACUGAUGGAACCCUGUGUUUGUUCUGCUGGUCAUGUACCCAGGCCUGGGAA